CCCCUAGUAACGGCGAGUGAAGCGGGAAGAGCUCAAAUUUAAAAUCUGGCGCCUCCGGUGCCCGAGUUGUAAUCUAGAGAGGUGUUUUCCGCGCCGGACCGUGCACAAGUCCCUUGGAACAGGGCGUCGUAGAGGGUGAGAAUCCCGUCCACGGCACGGACUCCCGGUGCUCUGUGAUACGCCUUCAAAGAGUCGAGUUGUUUGGGAAUGCAGCUCAGAAUGGGUGGUAAAUUCCAUCUAAAGCUAAAUACAGGCGAGAGACCGAUAGCGAACAAGUACCGUGAGGGAAAGAUGAAAAGAACUUUGGAAAGAGAGUUAAACAGUACGUGAAAUUGUUGAAAGGGAAACGCUUGGAGUCAGUCGUGUCUGCCGGGACUCAGCCGGGCUUGCUCGGUGCAUUUCUCGGUGGACGGGCCAGCAUCGAUUUCUUCCGCCGGAUAAAGGCAAGAGGAAGGUGGCACCCUCGGGUGUGUUAUAGCCUCUUGCUAAACGGUGGUGGGGAUCGAGGACCGCAGCACGGAUCGGGGUUCGCCCACGCCGCGUGCUUAGGAUGCUGGCGUAAUGGCUUUAAGCGACCCGUCUUGAAACACGGACCAAGGAGUCUAACAUGCCCGCGAGUGUUAGGGUGGCAAACCCUUCCGCGUAAUGAAAGUGAAAGGUUGGGACUCCCUCGAGGAGGCACCGACGCCCGAACCUGAAGUUCUCUGACGGUUUUGAGGCAGAGCGUGUAUGUUGGGACCCGAAAGAUGGUGAACUAUGCCUGAAUAGGGCGAAGCAGAGGAAACUCUGG
rnacentral:rRNA from 1 species